rnacentral:rRNA from 1 species
AGCUCCAAUAGCGUAUAUUAAAGUUGUUGCGGUUAAAAAGCUCGUAGUUGGAUCUCGGCGGGUAGGGGGGGGUUCGUUGUAUAAAGCUACUGUUCCAUUUACCCGUGUUUUUUACGGAGGUUUCAGGGGGCUCUUAACCGAGGGCUCUGGGAUGCCGUCAGGUUUACUUUGAAAAAAUUAGAGUGCUCAAAGCAGGCUUUACACGCUUGAAUAUUCGUGCAUGGAAUAAUAGAAUAGGACGUCGCUUCUAUUUUGUUGGUUUUCGGAAAUCGACGUAAUGAUUAAUAGGGACAGUCGGGGGCAUUAGUAUUCAGACGACAGAGGUGAAAUUCUUGGACCGUCUGAAGACUCACUACUGCGAAAGCAUUUGCCAAGAAUGUUUUCA